GUACACGCUGUGACUAGCAUAUCAAUAAGCGGAGGAAAAGAAACUAACAAGGAUUCCCCUAGUAACGGCGAAUGAAGCGGGAAGAGCUCAAAUUUGAAAUCUUAAAGGGUUUCCCUUUACGAAUUGUAGUUUAAAGAAGUGUUUUCUGUUGAGGUUUUGGUAAAAGUUCUUUGGAAUAGGACAUCAUAGAGGGUGAGAAUCCCGUAUUUGACCUUUACUUUCAACUUUGUGAUACACUUUCAAAGAGUCGGAUUGUUUGGGAAUGCAGUCCAAAAUGGGUGGUAAAUUUCAUCUAAAGCUAAAUAUUGGCGAGAGACCGAUAGCGAACAAGUACCGUGAGGGAAAGACUGAAAAGAACUUUGAAAAGAGAGUUAAACAGUACGUGAAAUUGUCAAAAGGGAAGCGUUUGACACCAGUGUUGUUUUUCUGAAAAUCAAUUAAAGAACUGUUUAUGCUAAGCUGUUUAGACUUUAUCAGCUAAUCUGUUUAGUUUUGAGCUUUUCUUUAAUGCACUUUUCAGUUAACAAGUCAACAUCAAUUUCUUUUCGCUGUAAAAAAGCUUGAGGAAGGUGGCUUGAGAUUCGUCUUAAGUGUUUAUAGCCUCUUGCCUAUGCAGUCGGAGAGAUUGAGGUCUGCAGCGUAGAUCCUUCGGGGCUAAAUGCAUUUGUGCUAAGUUAUAACAUUUUAUAGACAACUUGUUGACUAUGAUUUGUCUUGUAGCUUACUCGCUUAUGUUAUUUUACCUACGCUUAGGAUGUUGACGAGACUGUCGAUCUCAUCUAUACAUGACUCUGUGCAUAUCAAUAAGCGGAGGAAAAGUGAAUGCUGUAUACCUACGCUUAGGAUGUUGACGAGACUGUCGAUCUC
rnacentral:rRNA from 1 species